GGGGAAUAUUGGACAAUGGGCGCAAGCCUGAUCCAGCCAUGCCGCGUGAGUGAUGAAGGCCUUAGGGUUGUAAAGCUCUUUCAGUGGGGAAGAUAAUGACGGUACCCACAGAAGAAGCCCCGGCUAACUUCGUGCCAGCAGCCGCGGUAAUACGAAGGGGGCUAGCGUUGUUCGGAUUUACUGGGCGUAAAGCGCACGUAGGCGGUUUGUUAAGUCAGAGGUGAAAUCCCGGAGCUCAACUCCGGAACUGCCUUUGAUACUGGCAAGCUAGAGUCCGGAAGAGGUGAGUGGAACUCCUAGUGUAGAGGUGGAAUUCGUAGAUAUUAGGAAGAACACCAGUGGCGAAGGCGGCUCACUGGUCCGGUACUGACGCUGAGGUGCGAAAGCGUGGGGAGCAAAC
rnacentral:rRNA from 1 species